UGGGUGACCUGCCUCUAGGUGGGGGAUAACCCGGGGAAACUCGGGCUAAUACCGCAUAACAUCGUGAGAUCAAAGAGGGGCGCAAGCCUCUCACCGAGAGAGGGGCCCGCGUCUGAUUAGCUAGUUGGUGAGGUAACGGCUCACCAAGGCGACGAUCAGUAGCCGGCCUGAGAGGGCGAUCGGCCACACUGGAACCGAGACACGGUCCAGACUCCUACGGGAGCAG
rnacentral:rRNA from 1 species